UGUCAAGUUGAAUAAAAAAAGAAAAUGUACGCAUGCUUAAUAUUGUAUACCACACUUAAAAUAACACAAGUACCAAACUGAUCCGCAUUUGAUUUUAUCAAAAGAUUCAUUCAGAAUCUGUAAGCUCUGCAAUUGAAAUAAGGUCCGCCCAAACAAAACAGUAAUAAUCCUUCAACAAGGGAAACGAGUGUGGGGUUUUUAAACUUUGACCCACUCUAAGAUUUUUCGAAUUAUUACAAAAAAAAAGUCAAAAGGAAAAAUGAUAAAUGUCUCCCCAACUGAAUACUCAAAUGUAACAACAAAAAGAUUUUCAUCACCAUCUAAAUUCUAAAGGAUGUUACGAGGCUGACUUAUGCACCACCAGAUCCGUAUUUCUUUCCCAAAACAAG
rnacentral:lncRNA from 1 species